AUCGCUUCUCGGCCUUAUGGCUAAGAUCAUGGAUAGUAUCUGUUCUUAUCAGUUUAAUCUCUGAUAUGUCCUUUAUUUGAGGACUAAGUAUUAAUUUCAUUUUUAGAUCUAGGAUGUGAAAAGAGAGCUUGCUUCAUUCACUCCAAGCAUUAGCCUGGUAUUGCAGUAUUUCCAGGAGUGGUGCGCCUCCC